GGGGAUGCCAGGCAUCGAUAAUAAAAUUUUUUUUCAGCAUUCAGAAGUGCGCGUUAGCCGUCACUUUAAUCCGAGCUAGCUAACAUAAUAAGUGCCAAAAACUUAUUAAGCAAAAUGACAUUCUCUUGGAGAAUGCCCGCUUUUGCGCCAGUUGCCGCUUAAUUGCCGCAACCAUCCGCCCGGCCUAGCCUAAGGGUCGGAUCACGGGUGUCAUAUUUUAGGCUCGUACAGUCGUCCGCUUUAGGCGAUUGUCUUAAAAAUUUAAAGCUAGCCGCGGCCGAUUUUGUCCGGUUUUUACGGGCGCGGCGAAACAACAAACCGCUCUAAUCUGUAAACUUGCUUUAAAAAAUUUAUUAGACAGGGGUUCAAUUCCCCUCAUCUCCACCG
rnacentral:tmRNA from 1 species